AGACUUUCAAUUGAAAAGGUUAGUCACUUAUAUACUCCUUCAUCAAAAUUGUGUUUAAAUAUUCUAUUUGUGUCUAUGGUUAUAUUAGAAUGGUUUUUGUAUUGUGUAAUAAGUUUUAUGAAAUGAUAUAUAUUGUAUAAUUAGCUAUAAAAAAUACUAAAGAAAGAAAAAAAAUAUCUGUUUAUAGACCAAUGUUGAAAAUUAUUUAACUCUUUGAACUAAAAUCUAUAGAAAAAUAAAAAUAAUAAAAAUAUGUGAAUUUUUUUAUUUACUACUUCCUAUGUUCCAUUAUAUAAGAGUUUUUUUUGUCUAAAAGCAAAGAAAUUAUAAAACAAUAAAUAAUGUCUCGUUAAACAAAAUUCAACCAAUAGAAAAAAAAUACUGCAAAAUUUAAAUAAUCAAAAAUUACUAAAUCAAUAUAAUAAGUGCAUAGAAUUAAGAAAAUCUUUGUAAAAUGGAACAAAAAUAAAUAAAAGUUAAAUAAAGCUUAUAUAUUGGAACGGACGGAGUAUUUCGCAGAAAAAUGAAUUAAUACCAUUUAAUUCAUUUUUAUUCAAUUUUUAACAGGUAAACCCAUCUUUUUUUUUCUUGGCUAUACAAUCAUUUGCACUUUAAUACAUUGAAAAAGAAGAUUUAUUAACAACUUUUUUUUUUUUGAAAAGUCUAAACAAUAUCUUUAGUACAAUAUAUUGGUUGGUUAUAUUUAAGACUCUAAAUAAGCAAAAACAGAGUAGUUACGUACAAGAGUUGUUGAACCACUCGAAACAUCAUUUGUGUUAUCUAACCAAAUUUGGUCUUUUUGUGCUUCUUGUCCUAACAAAGAUAAAAUCUACUUUUUUUGAGAAGAAUCAUCAGUACGUAUUAUAUAACCCGAUAACGAAUGGUUGGAUCAAAUUGGUUUGAGCAUUAUCUCAUCUUUUUCAUCAAAUCCAAAUUAUCUUCAACUCUACAUAAACAUUCAAUUAUCGACAAGAUUAUAAUAUCACAAUAUAUCUUCUAAGCUCAUCCCCAUAAUCCAAGCCAAGACAUAAGAGAAGUAUGAAUCAAUCUUUGUUUCUCAUUUAAGUAAUGUCUACUUUUUCUUGGAUUAUAGAGACAUCCUAAAGCUUUUGUUUUCAUGCAUAUAGGUGUUGGUGUGAACGUGUUAUCGUUGGUUCACGUUUACGUACGAGAAAAGGAGAAAACAAAAGAAAAGGGUUAAUAGUUAUUUUGUCUAUUCGUGGAUAUGUCGACUCUCGAGUCAUCGUCUGGUCACGAGCCUUGUUCGUUAUCGACUUACUUACUUGCCGUGUGCGGUGGGGUAUUACUUGCACCCAUUGACUUCUAUUAAAAUCUUUCUUAAGGGUCAAGAAGAAUAUGAUAAGUAAUAAAUUAAUACGUGCCUUUGUAUACACGUACAUGUUUUAAUACGGUAACGUUUGAUUUCACUUUACUAAUUAUAUACAUUUUGGAUUCACAUGUACUAUACGUUUUCUAUUCGAAUUGAUUCAUUAUGACCUUGAUGUAAAUCAUGAUGAGUUUGAAAGUGCAUGUGUGCACGUAACUCAAGUAAAAAAAAAACAUAUACUGUAG
rnacentral:lncRNA from 1 species